rnacentral:rRNA from 1 species
GACGAACGCUGGCGGCGUGCUUAACACAUGCAAGUCGAACGAUGAAGCCGGAGCUUGCUCUGGUGAAUUAGUGGCGAACGGGUGAGUAACACGUGGGUAACCUGCCCUUGACUCUGGGAUAACUGCGGGAAACUGUAGCUAAUACCGGAUACGACCCUCGGAGGCAUCUCCUGGGGGUGGAAAGAAUUUCGGUCAAGGAUGGACUCGCGGCCUAUCAGCUAGUUGGUGAGGUAAAGGCUCACCAAGGCGACCACGGGUAGCCGGCCUGAGAGGGUAACCGGCCACACUGGGACUGAGACACGGCCCAGACUCCUACGGGAGGCAGCAGUGGGGAAUACUGCACAAUGGGCGCAAGCCUGAUGCAGCAACGCCGCGUGAGGGAUGACGGCCUUCGGGUUGUAAACCUCUUUUAGCAGGGAAGAAGCGAAAGUGACGGUACCUGCAGAAAAAGCACCGGCUAACUACGUGCCAGCCGCCGCCGUAA